CCUACGGGAGGCAGCAGUAGGGAAUCUUCCACAAUGGGCGAACGCCUGAUGGAGCAACGCCGCGUGGGUGAAGAAGGUCUUCGGAUCGUAAAACCCUGUUGUUAGAGAAGAAAGUGCGUGAGAGUAACUGUUCACGUUUCGACGGUAUCUAACCAGAAAGCCACGGCUAACUACGUGCCAGCAGCCGCGGUAAUACGUAGGUGGCAAGCGUUAUCCGGAUUUAUUGGGCGUAAAGGGAACGCAGGCGGUCUUUUAAGUCUGAUGGGAAAGCCUUCGGCUUAACCGGAGUAGUGCAUUGGAAACUGGGAGACUUGAGUGCAGAAGAGGAGAGUGGAACUCCAUGUGUAGCGGUGAAAUGCGUAGAUAUAUGGAAGAACACCAGUGGCGAAAGCGGCUCUCUGGUCUGUAACUGACGCUGAGGUUCGAAAGCGUGGGUAGCAAACAGGAUUAGAUACCCGAGUAGGUC
rnacentral:rRNA from 1 species